AACUCUACUCGAACCAAUUUGCAUCUGCGGGCAACGUAGAAGAGCCUAGACCCCGCGUGCGUCUCUCUCUCUGUUUCCAACCUUCCAGGAGGCAGCAAUGUCGGAUGGAGGAGGAGAAGAAGAGAGAGUUCUGGAAGGACAGCUGGAGCUUCAUUUACAAGAGCAAAGAGACUCUAUCUCUGAUCUCAAACAAGCCCUCGCUUCUGAUCCCACCAACUCCGAACUUCUCUCGGUUUAUGAGGAGCUUGUUCAGGCUAUCAAGGAAGCGGAGGAAGGGCUCUUUCAUUUGAAACGGGCAAGGUUGUUGCGGGAAGCUGAUUCAAUUUUACAGGAUUCCAAAUACAGUGCUGAGGAUGUCAAAGCAGAACCUCUUGGUCCAGCAAAAGUUGAAGCAGAACCACUGGAGGAUGAAGGUUUCUAUGUUGGAUCGAAAUGUAGAUUCCGCCACACUGAUGGACGUUGGUAUAAUGGUCUUAUUAUUGGGCUAGAAGGAUCUGAUUCAGCAAAGAUUUCUUUUCUCACACCAACAUCGGAAAACAUGUUGAUAUGCAAGUUCUUUCUACAGCAACGGUGCCGAUUUGGUACUAACUGCCGCCAAUCACAUGGUGUUGACAUCCCACUAACUUCCCUCAAGAAGUAUAUCCCCACUGCAUGGGCGCAGUCGCUGGUAGGGUCCAGUAUUUGGGCAGUCUGUGAUAGUAAAACUGGCAUUUGGAGGGAAGCCGAGCUUGAAUCCUGGGAUGAUGAACUCAGAAUGGCGCACAUCGUUUUUGGUGACGACGGAGCCUCUACCAAACUUGGCAUUGAAUCUAUCACAUUGUCCAAAUAUGCAGACAUGACCGAUGAAGAAAACGACUCGAGUUCAGAACAAUCUGAUGACGGCAGCGAAUAUGAAGAUGACGAUCCGGAGGGCUUAGGAUUCCAUGAAACCACUGCCCUUCGUAAUGGCAUCCAGACAGAAACUGCCAUUUUUGCAAAGUGGGAGAAUCACACCAGAGGCAUAGCAUCUAAGAUGAUGGCUAACAUGGGUUACUGCGAGGGAAUGGGUUUAGGCGUAUCUGGGCAGGGAAUGGUGGACCCAAUAUCUGUGAAAGUCCUUCCACCAAAGCAAUCUCUUGAUUGUGCCCUCGAGUCUAGAAAAGACGGUGAGAGUAGAGAGGAACACAGGAAGAAACGAAAUAGAGGGGGGAAGAGAAAACGCGAUAAGAAGUUUGCAGCAGCAGCUAGAGCCGCCAAGGAGGAAGAGGAAUCACAGCCGGACGUCUUUAGUCUUAUCAAUACCCAACUUGCAAUGCAUAGUGAAGCUAUGAAUGGAAGAGGAGAGAAGAAGCAGAAUAAGGGACUUGGAGAAGGAAAGAAGCAAGAUAGGCGGGCUAUCCUUGCAUAUGACGACGAGGUUAAGGAGCUGAGAAUGAGAGUGGAGAAGCUGGAAGAAAUGGCGAGCCGGAACAAGAACGAAAAGGUGGUUUAUGAGGCUGCAAUGAGGAAGCUGAGUGAGACUCGGAAAUCGUUGGCGGAGGCGGAGGCGGCUCAUGCAUCAGCUUCAAAUGCAGUUGCUAGCAAAGAAAGGGAGAAAAGGUGGCUUAAAUUUUGAGAGAGAAUUUUAUGUUGUGUAUUUUUGAAUCGUGAAUGUAUUAUCCGGGAUUGCUUCCGAACUCUACAAUUAGGUUGCUUUAUCAGUGUCGUUGUGGCAAAUCCUACUUUUAAUAGCUCAAAUAAGUUCUAAAAAAUAACUGUAAAUUUGAAGAAGAGUUUGUUUGGGCUGAAUAUGAGCACUUCGGAAGCUGGGGUCUGUUGUUGUCUUCAAUUCGGACCCAGGACUUUCCGAUCUUUCUGAAUCACUCAACAAAGCCGGGUACAAGUUCAUGCCAUGGUUUGUCGAGAACAAGCUCAUCCCAGCCGUUCGUCACGCUUACGGCUACAACGGCAAAAUCACCAUCUCCGUGCCACAGGAUUUUGCCGCCUUCAAGCGUUCACUCUUCGAUUCCUUGCUCGACACAAAGAUCCUUCUACAGGUUGUCCCGCUGAACCUAGACCGCCACACGUUCGGAACCAACUUUUCAAAGGAUUCCACCUUCCCUACUUUCUCACAGGAUUUUACAAAUCCUAGUUUUGAACUUUCGGAUCAUAUAAGAAUUAAUCACUCAACCGCUUAUCAACAACUCCGAAGGGAAAGAAGCCGGACCACAAGCUUCUAUAUAUCAAUAACGUUCCGAUCAUAGACUGGGAACUCUACAACGAUGGCAGCGUGAUAGUUCAUGGCGUCCCUCGUCUUUUCCAAGAUCCAAUGGACUUGCAACAUUCUAUUGAACGGCAAAAAAAGGAUUUUGAAAAGAGAGACAGAAUUAGAUAGGGAUUUGUGAAUUUUAGAGUUUGAUCAAAAGGUAUUUAAAUCGUUGAUUAAGCCUGUUUUGCCAUCUUAGAGUUCUAGUAGCAGCUCAACGAUAAGUGAUCUCAAUUCCAUAGUCUUUCUUCAUAUCCUUCACAAUCUCAACUGGACGUUUUGAUUCAUUGGAUCGCAUGUCUUCAGAAACCAAUCUACCAACAAAACUAGAAGUACUACGAGAACUACUAUAUCACAAUGAAGCAUUCCCACAAGUGUGCUCACCAACAAACUGUUUUAUAAUAAAGAAAUCACUAGGCAUUUCUAACUUGUCCUUCACAAUCCACUUACAUUCCUUUGAUGUGCCUUUCUGAACAAACAACCUUCAUUGUUUGGCGCGCAUCGUUUUUGGCAUAAACAUAUUUGAAACCAUGGAACAACGAAUACAUAGACAACGUAUCGCGAAAACCAACAGCCUGACCACCUCCGACAAUUGCAUUACACCAACUAGCUGACUUCAGAACCUUACUCUUAUUAUUACCAAACAAUGAUGGUAGCAAAUCCACUUGAUCGCCAACACCAUGUAAUAACACCAACUGAUCACAACCUACAUCACCACUAUUGCUACCACCAUCACCAACAGUAGAGACCGUACUUGUACCAACCAAAUCUUUGACAACAACGUGAACACGCUCAGGCUCAGUCCUAGACGACAAGGUUAAAGCAUAUAAGACACACAAGUCCU